GGCAAUGAUGAGAAGAGGGUUAUCUGACUUGAUGAUGAAACUUACCCGAUCUGAGC
rnacentral:snoRNA from 1 species